rnacentral:rRNA from 1 species
GAGUUUGAUCCUGGCUCAGGACGAACGCUGGCGACGUGCCUAAUACAUGCAAGUAGAACGCUGAAGAGAGGAGCUUGCUCUUCUUGGAUGAGUUGCGAACGGGUGAGUAACGCGUAGGUAACCUGCCUGGUAGCGGGGGAUAACUAUUGGAAACGAUAGCUAAUACCGCAUAAAAUGGAUUAUCGCAUGAUAAUCAAUUGAAAGGUGCAAUUGCAUCACUACCAGAUGGACCUGCGUUGUAUUAGCUAGUUGGUGGGGUAACGGCUCACCAAGGCGACGAUACAUAGCCGACCUGAGAGGGUGAUCGGCCACACUGGGACUGAGACACGGCCCAGACUCCUACGGGAGGCAGCAGUAGGGAAUCUUCGGCAAUGGACGGAAGUCUGACCGAGCAACGCCGCGUGAGUGAAGAAGGUUUUCGGAUCGUAAAGCUCUGUUGUAAGAGAAGAACGAGUGUGAGAGUGGAAAGUUCACACUGUGACGGUAUCUUACCAGAAAGGGACGGCUAACUACGUGCCAGCAGCCGCGGUAAUACGUAGGUCCCGAGCGUUGUCCGGAUUUAUUGGGCGUAAAGCGAGCGCAGGCGGUUAGAUAAGUCUGAAGUUAAAGGCUGUGGCUUAACCAUAGUACGCUUUGGAAACUGUUUAACUUGAGUGCAAGAGGGGAGAGUGGAAUUCCAUGUGUAGCGGUGAAAUGCGUAGAUAUAUGGAGGAACACCGGUGGCGAAAGCGGC